rnacentral:misc_RNA from 1 species
UAUCUGACUCGGCGGUUCCUCU